AACGAACGCUGGCGGCGUGCCUAACACAUGCAAGUCGAGGGAGAAAGUCCGCAAGGAUGAGUAAACCGGCGAACGGGUGCGUAACACGUGGAUAAUCUACCUUCCUGACCGGAACAACUGGCCGAAAGGCUUGCUAAUACCGGAUAAGACCACGGGGUCUUCGGACUCUGAGGGAAAAGGUGGCCUCUGUACACAAGCUAUCACAGGGAGAUGAGUCCGCGGCCCAUCAGCUAGUUGGCGGGGUAAAGGCCCACCAAGGCAACGACGGGU
rnacentral:rRNA from 1 species